CGAGACACUGCCAUCGGAAGAGGCAAGCGUCAAAGGCCGAUUCGUUACAAGAGGGAAGGCCGGAAAGAAGGAGCAGAGGGAGGAAAAAAUCAUCCACAAAAAGAAAUUCGGCUUUAUUAAUUGAUCUUGAAGACAAAUGAAAAGGAAGAGGGGAGAAAAAAUAAACGAAAAGAAGGCGAGAAAAGAUAAAUACUUGCUGGAUCCUGGGGGCUCAGGCCGAUGUUGAAAAGAAGCUGCUCCCUCAGAAGGUUAGGAAGGGAAGGAGCGGGGUAACUCAGAAGCUUCUGGGCGGCCUGGAGGUCGUCCUCUCCCAGGCUGGGAGCCCGGCGGAUGGAAUCCCUCAGAGCCCCCCAACGGGACAGACCUAGUUCUAAGGUCGGGCAGUAGACAAAGAGGAAUUUCCCCUUCCAGUUGUGAAUCGAAGAAGGGGCGCCCUUCAGCAACCCCUUCUUGCCGAACUGGGAGGAGAAGUACCACCAGUCCUUCGCUGAAGGAUGACGUUUGAAGGUGUAGAAAUGUCUGAAUAAGGAGAGGGAUGGCUGGACCUCGGCUAUANNNN
rnacentral:lncRNA from 1 species